rnacentral:rRNA from 1 species
AUUGAACGCUGGCGGCAGGCCUAACACAUGCAAGUCGAGCGGAUGAAGGGAGCUUGCUCCUGGAUUCAGCGGCGGACGGGUGAGUAAUGCCUAGGAAUCUGCCUGGUAGUGGGGGAUAACGUCCGGAAACGGGCGCUAAUACCGCAUACGUCCUGAGGGAGAAAGUGGGGGAUCUUCGGACCUCACGCUAUCAGAUGAGCCUAGGUCGGAUUAGCUAGUUGGUGGGGUAAAGGCCUACCAAGGCGACGAUCCGUAACUGGUCUGAGAGGAUGAUCAGUCACACUGGAACUGAGACACGGUCCAGACUCCUACGGGAGGCAGCAGUGGGGAAUAUUGGACAAUGGGCGAAAGCCUGAUCCAGCCAUGCCGCGGGUGUGAAGAAGGUCUUCGGAUUGUAAAGCACUUUAAGUUGGGAGGAAGGGCAGUAAGUUAAGACCUUGCUGUUUUGACGUUACCAACAGAAUAAGCACCGGCGAACUUCGU